rnacentral:rRNA from 1 species
GACGAACGCUGGCGGCGUGCUUAACACAUGCAAGUCGAACGGUAAGGCCCUUCGGGGUACACGAGUGGCGAACGGGUGAGUAACACGUGGGUGAUCUGCCCUGCACUUCGGGAUAAGCCUGGGAAACUGGGUCUAAUACCGGAUAGGACCCUGGGAUGCAUGUCCUGGGGUGGAAAGCUUUUGCGGGGUGGGAUGGGCCCGCGGCCUAUCAGCGUGUUGGUGGGGUGAUGGCCUACCAAGGCGACGACGGGUAGCCGGCCUGAGAGGGGUGACCGGCCACACUGGGACUGAGAUACGGCCCAGACUCCUACGGGAGGCAGCAGUGGGGAAUAUUGCACAAUGGGCGCAAGCCUGAUGCAGCGACGCCGCGCGAGGGAUGACGGCCUUCGGGUUGUAAACCUCUUUCAGCACCGACGAAGCGCAAGUGACGGUAGGUGCAGAAGAAGGACCGGCCAACUACGUGCCAGCAGCCGCCGCGG